CCUACUAUGAGAAAACUUGUCAGUCAAUCUUGCUCAGUGUUGCCAACUUGGCAUAAAUGAUGCCAGAUCUGGCAUUAAAUUUUCCAUUUAGCAUCUGGCAUAUUUUUUAGCAUAAUUUAGUCUAAGCCAAGUUUGCACCAACUUGGCAGCAACAAUAUGCGCCAUCGCCUUAUGUGGUUCAUAUUUUCAUAUGAAUUUUGACUUUUGUGUACGGAUGGUCAACGGACUAUAUCAAGUUGGUCAAACAGAUCCUGUCAGUAGAAAAAGGCGGUAAAUUUGAAAAAAGUAUGUGUUUUAAGUGUGUAAUUUCAAGUGAUAUUUUAGAUUUUUUUAGCAUAGGUGUUUCAAAAAUCUUUGGCAUUAUUUUGGCAUAAUCUAGACAUUAGUCUAGCAUUUUUUCAAAAUCGGAGUUGGCAUCACUGAUCUUGCUUGCCAUUAUUUGUUGUCUUGCGUUCCACGACCCACGACGAUUCAGUAUUGUUUUAUUCCUGUUACUUGUUAUAAUUCGUUGUUAUUUGUUAUUGAACUUAGUGUUUUGUGUGGUGCAAGUUGUUUCGUACUAACGUACGUGUGCGUACGUACUUUUUAUUUGAAAAUCCCUUAGAAAAGGACACAAGAAAGGACGAAUACCUAUCUAGUGCAUCAGUGAGGUUGUUUGAAGCGAAAACGUAUACAUAUAAGCAAACAUGCUCUGAAAUGUCGUUACGAAGCCGCUGCACAAUUUUCUUCUGCUCAUGUAGAUAAUUCGAGUGAUGACACUGAAGGCAAUGAUUUUAAUAUAACACAUGAAAAUAUACCUACUGGCCCUGAAAGUGGCCAUGAAACAAAAUAUGGCAGGAGGAUAGUAAAUGUGGACCAGUUCUUUGACAAGUUGCAAGAAAUAUCAUCUCAUGACCCUCUCAAUUGCGGAUUAAAAUCAGUUCAGAUCAUGGGUGAAAACAUACCACCGCCCCGCUGUCGUCGUCGAAAUAAAUAAACGAUGAAAACUGUUUUAUUUGUAUUAUUCCAAAUAUAACAUAAUAGUGUUCAAAAUUACACAAAGCAAACCGAGAUGUUGGUUUUUAUUUUAAUGGUUCUGCUAGGUAAUGCAAAAAUUUAAUUAAUAAAUAUUUUUCGCUUACACCUACAGGGCGGAAAACAUUAUGGGCCCUGAAGGGAAUCGACCUUGAAACGUUGAGAUAGCUCAAUUUACAAUUAGUACCUAUGGAAAAUUUAAAAUAAAAAAACUGAAUGCAAAGAUGUUCACGUAAAAUAUUUUUAAGGUAGUUGUUUUCCAGGGCCCAUAGAUUUUUUCUACCGUGUAAGAGUUAGACCAAGGGAAGUCUGCAACGAUUUUGAUAGCAUACGCAGAGCAAGUGUUAUUUAUACGUCAUAAUUUAUUUCAUAAAAGUUUGACGUCUAAAAUAACAUUGCACUGCGUGUGCUCGGUGUGCUAUCAAAAUCGUUGCAGACUUAUCUUGGUCUAACUCUAGUUAGUUGUUAGAUCAGCAGUCAAUGUGGAACAACCAAUUUUUUUUCUUUAAUAAUUAUAUUAUUUUAUCUGUAUAAGCGCCAUCUGUUGAAAACCGCGCAACUGUUCAACAAUGCGCUAUGGAUCUUAACUCUUGAAUAAGUACAGAGAUGGCGCGCAAAUCAAUGCUAAUCGAUACAGACAUCCAAGGGCACUUGCUUUACUCUACACCUUACAAAAAGUUUAACAACAUAAAUUUAUUACACUUUAUAACAGUCUAAUAGGAUGCAUGCCUCCUGCAUAAUUAAUUUCAAUGUUCCAUCUCUUUCACAACUAUCGAGAAAAAAAAAUCUGCUCUCCGGCCGGAAAGCGUCAACUUUCGGCCCACUGCGCUAAACGAAGUUGCCGCUUUCCCGCUUUGUCGAACAGGAAAAUUGUAUAUACAAGCAGAUGCAUUAGAGUCCGAAGAGUGAAGAUUGGACAGUUAUUACGAAAAGAUAUCUUUCGGCUUGCCCUACUCCAAAACUUGUGUUAUCAAUUCUGAUUUUCUUCUUAUUAGUUUUAAGUUAGUGAUAAGUUAGGUCCCCACCAAAUCAGCGCUGCGGCUUACCGUCGUAGCAUUACGCUGAGUGGGGGUCCUAUUUAACGUCUAUGUCUCUAUAUUAAAUUUGUAAUUUAAGUUGUUGGUUUGACGUAAAUAAAUGUAUUUUCUUUCUUUCUUUCAAAACCCUAGGCACGCCACUGAUAUACAGUAGAUAAAUAAGAAAGCCUCAGAUCACGUCAUAUAUGCUGUGAACAAUUACAUGUCAUCUGAGACGCUUCUUACUUGGCCAGCCUAGGUAAUAGGUAUACAAUUUCGAAACACGAAUCUACCUAACUAAAGUCAAAAUAAGCAGUAAGUAUUCUGAAGUUUGUGGUGCUGCCACACUUCACAUUUGAACUGACUGGAUUUCUUUGAAAAUCUGUGUCUAUAGUCUGUAUCUUUAGGUAUUUAAAUAAAAGUAAACAAACAAUUUUUACAUUUUAGGUAGUUAUAACAUUUAUUGGUUAACCAACCAAAUACCUGCCUGGAUCUGUUACUGAACGACUUGACUUUAACCUACAUUAUUUGAUCAUGUAAUAUUUUCAUCUACCCUCAACUGGCUUAAGGAGCCAUUUGGGGGUAGAUUUUGUUUACUUUUAUUUAAAUACUUAAAUAUACAGAGUAUAGACAUUUAUUUAAUGAAGCAUGAUAGCAAAUCAUAAACAUUAUAAAAUCUCUAUGAUUUAACAUUGAAUGUAUGUUUUAUUUACAUAAAUAUUUACAAUUUAAAUAAAAGUUUCUGAACGUUCUCUAAUUUAGGUGUACUUUUUUAAUUAUUUACCAAUAAGAAAAUUCAGACAUUCUCUCUUAAUAACAUCUGGUUAUAGGAUUCAUAGAACUUUAGGUAUCUAUAUAUAUAACGUUAUCUAUGAACCGUUACAAUACUUACAAUAAACUGAGAUACGAGACAAAAUACCGAUAGAUCACUUUAUGAAAACAGUUUAAAAUAAAAUACUAGUCAUUAUUACAUAUACAAAAAAAAAGUAAAACCUCAAAUGAAAAAUUAGACCUUAAGUCAUUGGAAAUAGGUCUUAAUUGCAAUGUUUCUUGAUGUGAAGUCAAGUUAUAAAAUUACAACUAUGUAAAAUUGUAUCAGUCUGAAAAAGGGUGCUUUAGGGUAUUUAAAAAAAUAGUGUAACCCCAAAACAUUAUGUACUAGUAAUUCGACAAUUUCACGUCAUACCUAAAAUCACUUUUAACAAAAACUUAUCACUACGAGUCAUUUCAAAAUUAUUUUCGAAAGUAGGUACCUAAAACACCUCCAACGCACCAGUAGCGUGACAUGAGCAUUGAAUUUUUGACAGUAUUCUAUAUAUUAGCGCGACUUGCACCAGUAACUUAACCGCUUAACCCCGGGUUAGUGGGAUAGUGCAAAUGGCGCUUACAGUAUGUAUGUAUACACGGUGUAACAUGAGUAAACCGAAUAAUUUUAACCACGCAUUUCUGAGGUCAAAAGAAGUAAAAAAUGUAAUGAGUUUAGGUCAAUUUCGCCAAAAAAAAAUUAUUUUUUGUUUUGAUUUUUCAAUUUUUUGUGUGUAUUUGUACAUAAAAAAUAAAUGUUAUUGGCAAACUUGUCACUUAAAAUUGAUUUAAAAAAUAUUUUUUCGUAGAACCUACUUUUUACAGUGUUACUUGUCACUUUUUGACAUAGCUAUCAAUAAGGAUAUUUAGACUACGUCCCAUAGCAGCAACAUCACCAUCAAGAAGGCCUUUUACACUAUGUAACAAUAAAAACUUGUUUUUUUUAAAUUAAUAAUAUCUCUGAAACUAGGCGAAAAUCAAAAAAGUUUAUAUGACAUUUUUGUCUCUAAAUAUGAUCAGGAAUACGCUGUUAAAAUUAUUCGGUUUACUCAUGUUACACCGUGUAUACAAUUACAAUAAUACAAGUAACAACUAAACUUUCGUUUUAGUUGGCACUUACGUAAGAGCGUUGUUACGACACAAGUGCGAAAAGUAGAAAAAACUCAUCGAGCGGCGAUAAAUUGAGAGACGACCGAAAGGAGUGUUUUAAAUCGACACGAGUUGUUAAUUACCUUUUCGCACGUGUAUUGUACAACGUUUUAUAGUACAUAUACUACAUAUGGCCGUUUUAAUUUUCGACAUACGCAUGUAUAGACUGUAUAGUGCUAAUUAUCGCACUAGGGCGUUAAAGCAGCACCAUAUGUACUGUAAAGAUAUAUUUUAUUAUGUAACUUAACGUAACUCAAAAUAUUAAAGCGAUAACAUUAUUAUGAACGAAACCUUCAAAGUAUGGUCAGAAAUGUGAAAAAUCAUUCUGUAUAUUUGAGCAUUUUUGUGAUCUUACCACAGAAUAAAUAAUAGUACUAGGUACAGAAGAGAAGACUCACUCUCUAACAAAACGCGUCUGUUACGAUCAGCACAGAUAUGGCCGCUAGGUGGCGACAGCGCCACGCGCGGCUUAUGGCAAACCCCAAAAUUGGGGCCGAACGGAUGCACUUUUAGCUACCUGUAGCAAAGCGACGGAAUCGCGGAGUGAGUCACGCCUGAUCUUACAUAAGGACUACCAAGACCCACCCAAUUGUAAAAAAACACAUAGUCGAUCCCCCUCCUCCCUUGAAUCGUCUUACGUAAUAGACGAAUGGCGCCUAGAUAAUUUAAAUAUAUCAAUACGUACAACAUGAACAUGAAAUUGUAUUAUUGUACAGUCACCUGCAAUAAUAUGUUACUCUUCGAAGGCCGCAAAAAUAUGUGACACGCACUUAUGGCUCUACAAAUAAGAUCGUGUCAGAUAUUUUUGCGGCCUUCGUUGUGUAACAUAUUAUUGCAGGUGA